UACAGAGGGUGCGAGCGUUGUUCGGAAUUAUUGGGCGUAAAGGGAGCGUAGGCGGUUUUGUAAGUCGUGUGUGAAAUCUUCGGGCUCAACCCGAAGUCUGCACACGAAACUGCAGGGCUUGAGUAUGGGAGAGGUGAGUGGAAUUCCUGGUGUAGCGGUGAAAUGCGUAGAUAUCAGGAGGAACACCUGUGGCGAAAGCGGCUCACUGGACCAUUACUGACGCUGAGGCUCGAAAGCUAGGGGAGCAAACAGG
rnacentral:rRNA from 1 species